rnacentral:rRNA from 1 species
UCGGGAAUUUUGGGCAAUGGGCGAAAGCCUGACCCAGCAACGCCGCGUGAAGGAUGAAGUAUUUCGGUAUGUAAACUUCGAAAGAAUAGGAAGAAUAAAUGACGGUACUAUUUAUAAGGUCCGGCUAACUACGUGCCAGCAGCCGCGGUAAUACGUAGGGACCAAGCGUUGUUCGGAUUUACUGGGCGUAAAGGGCGCGUAGGCGGCAAUUCAAGUCAUCUGUGAAAUCUCCGGGCUUAACUCGGAACGGUCAGAUGAUACUGCUUUGCUAGAGUGCAGAAGGGGCAAUCGGAAUUCUUGGUGUAGCGGUGAAAUGCGUAGAUAUGCGGAGGAACACCGAUGGCGAAGGCAGCCUCCUGGGAUAACACUGACGCUCAUGCACGAAAGCGUGGGG